CCUACGGGUGGCAGCAGUGGGGGAUAUUGCACAAUGGGGGAAACCCUGAUGCAGCGACGCCGCGUGGGCGAAGAAGUAUUUCGGUAUGUAAAGCCCUAUCAGCAGGGAAGAAGAAAUGACGGUACAUGAGUAAGAAGCACCGGCUAAAUACGUGCCAGCAGCCGGGGUAAUACGUAUGGUGCAAGCGUUAUCCGGAUUUACUGGGGGUAAAGGGAGCGCAGGCGGCACGGCAAGCCUGAUGUGAAAGCCCGCGGCCCAACCGCGGGACUGCAGUGGGAACUACCGGGCUGGAGUGCCGGAGAGGUAGGCGGAAUUCCUAGUGUAGCGGUGAAAUGCGUAGAUAUUAGGAGGAACACCAGUGGCGAAGGCGGCCUACUGGACGGUGACUGACGCUGAGGCUCGAAAGCGUGGGGAGCAAACAGGAUUAGAUACCCUGGUAGUC
rnacentral:rRNA from 1 species